UACAUGGGGUGCAAACGUUGCUCGGAAUUAUUGGGCGUAAAGCGCGCGUAGGCGGUUCUCUAAGUCGGAUGUGAAAGCCCUCGGCUUAACUGAGGAAGUGCACCCGAAACUGGAUAGCUAGAGUACGAAAGAGGGUCGCGGAAUUCCCGGUGUAGAGGUGAAAUUCGUAGAUAUCGGGAGGAACACCGGUGGCGAAGGCGGCGACCUGGGUCGAGACUGACGCUGAGGCGCGAAAGCGUGGGGAGCAAACAGG
rnacentral:rRNA from 1 species